UUUUUUUUUUUUGUUUGUUUGUCAUGUAGGAUUUUGAACUGAGAUUCAUACCUGCCGCAGACAAGAAUAUUAAAAUAAGAGUACGAACAAAAUGCGAAGGAAGUCUGGCAUCUCAUCCUGACAUCAGAGUAACACCACAAAUAAAUAACACAAUGUUUGAUUUGGUCUAUGUUACAGAAAAUGAGUAGGAUUUCAAACAACUGAGGUUAAACAGAAGCACAGAAUUAUUAAAACUAUUUUUUCAAUGGCAAAUAUUUUUGUGGCUGCAUAGAAUACAGUGAUUAUCUUCAGACCAGACACCUGCAAACAAUAGGAAUCCACAGCUGUUAUCUUUCUGUUUUCUCAGUGCUCAUAAAGAAGGAUGAGAGGAGCAUGGUCUGCAUCCUGAAGGCAGGAACUGUGCAAGAAGAAAAUGUCAAGGUAGGAGUAGGUAUGGGAGGUCUGGGAUGGGUAAUUCCAUCCAAAGUAAAAAGCAGAGAGAAGACAUAAGGGAAGCAGAGAGAGAAGCCAGUAAAGCUGGACAAGGAUUAGAGAAAAUCACAGGAGGACCCAUUUAACCCUAAUUUCUGUGGUUUUUCUGAUGAAGAUGUGGUGUUAAUGGUUUCAGAGUUAAUCAGAGAGCCAUGUGUCUUCAAUCUCAGAUAUAAACCAGAUGAAAACAGACAUCCAUCCCACUUAAGUGGUAUUUUAGUGACACAAAGGCUGAAAGAGAAAAAAAAGAAAAGAUUUGCAUAGUAAUGACUCGAUCAUUGCUUUAAAGCUGCAUGGUAUUUUCAGAGACCCUAACAACCACCAAAUCAAGAAUUCAAACCACACCUUGGGAAGGCUGGGCUUCCUUUUGUUAAGAACAAAAACUGAAGAUCUCUGAGGUCCUCUAACCACGGAAUAUCUGCCAUGUGGACCUACACCCACCUAGGAUAUUGCCAAAACCCCAAGAAAGUACCAUGACUAAGAUCCGUGUCUUUCCCUGGGUACUAUUUCCACAGAGAGCUUCUUAUGUCUCUUCCCUGACAUUUCACAAAAGAGAGAAAAAGGAAAGGAAAAAAUAUGCCUGAGAAAAGGCCAAGUGUGAAGAAGAAUUUGAUUUCAGCAUCCCAUUUAAAAAUCUCUACUUACUUCCUCAAUCCAUAUGAGGCUUAUUGUCAAACCAACACCAUGAAAAGAAUCCAGCUUCUGUUUCUAUGAAACACUAUGCCAUGAGCAAAAGCACAGAUUAGACAGAUAAAUAAUAACUAUAGCUAAUAAUCAGUAAAUUCCUAACGUGUCAGACACAGUACUAGGAAUUUUACAUAUAAAACCCGUGAGAUCCUGACAAUGAUUUAAUGAAGCUGGUACUUUUAUUACCCCAUUCAAUAGGUAGGAAGGCUAAGGCACAAAGAGAUUAUGUUACUUUCCCAAGGUCAACACACUAAGAAAGUGGCAAAGCCAUGAUUCACGCUGGAAUCAGCAGUCUGAUUUCAAGGCUCAUAUGACUUAAGCACUAUGUAUACGGACUCUUAAAGAAAACAUUGGAAAUAACACCCUCUUACAUUAAACUUUUCCAGAGACUAGAAAAAGAACAUUUUCCAACUUAUCUCAUAAGACCAAAAUAUUCUUCGCUCUGAACUGAGAAGAAUAUUACAAAAAAGGAAAAUUAUCAGCCAAUCUCUCUUGGGAAGAUAGAAACAAAGCAUACUAUACAAAAUAUUAGCAUCUGAUUUCAGAGAAUUCUUAAGAAAAAGACAAUCAAAUGGAAAAAUGGGAUUUCAUAGAAGUAAUCCAAAUGGUAAGUAAACAUAUAUUUUUUUUAAAUGUUCAACAUCAUUAGUCAUCAGGGAAGGGCAAAUUAAAGCCAUGGCAUAUCCACCAGAUUUAAUAAAAUGAAAAAGAUGAUAAUAUCAGGAGUUGAUGAGGAUGUAAAAUAAGAGGAACUCUCACACACUAUUGAUGAGAGCAAAAAUUGGUACACUUUGAAGAAGAGUCUAGAAGCAUCUGCCACAAGUGAACAUUUAUAUACUCUGUGGCCCAGAAAUUCUACUCCUACGUAUAUACUCAACAGAAAUUUAUAUAUGGACACAAAAAGACACAAACAAAAAUGUGCAUAGCAUCCUUAUUCAUUUAGGAUACAAUCUAAAUAUCUAUUAACAGUGAAGAUAAAUAAAUUGUGUUAUAUUUAUACCAUGAGGUGCUAUACAGCAGUGAAAAUGAAAUACUGCUGUUCACAAUGACUUGAAUGAAUCUCACAACUUAUAAUGUUGACCAAAAGAAGCCAGACACAAAGCAUAUACUUUAUGAUUCCAUUUAUAUAUUGUUUUAAAACAGGCGAAACAAAUCUAUGGUGAUAGAAGGCAGAACACCACCUACAUCUGAGAGGAAGCUGCAGUGACUGCAGAAAAAGAAAGGUGCCAGGAAUGCUUCAUUUCUUGACCUGGUCAUUGGUCACAUGAGAGUAUUCACUUGGUGUUUCAGGUAUAGUUUGAGAAGGAGCACCUUGGUGACAGAUGUGGGCCAAUCCAAAUUCAUGGUCUACAAUAAGUGAACAUGGUUCAACCAGAUGAGAAAGACAUUAAGCAGAAUUGAUUGCAAUAUCAACUACACAUUCAUUGCUUCACUUUUUGAGUAUCUAAAAUAUGCCUGGAAAAAUGCUAAGUCCUUCAGUCAAGAAGAUGAAAAGACAAACUUCCUGUCAGCAAAUUGUUUACAACCUAACUGAAAGAGAUGUAUAAAAAUAAUCGAUUUCAAACCAUAGUGUGUAAUCAUGGAAUGGUGCAAACUGUUCUGAGAGUUUAGGGAAACCAGGGAAGGAUUUCCAGAGGUGGCAAACUUCAACCUCAAAAGGGUUUUGCAGGUGAAAGGGCUGGAUGGAGGGUGUAGAGGGAGAGGGUCUGGGAGAAGUAUUUGCCUGAGAAUUGACAGCAUUUGCAAAGAGAGCACAGAGAGACAGUACUGUGAAUAUUAGGGACAUUGGGUAUGUAGACAUGGCUAGAGCUUAAAAUGCAAGAUCGAGAACAGGUGAAGGUGGGCAGGUAAAUCUUUUACUCUAUCUUGGAUAUCUAUCCUGUGGCACAUGGGAGCUGCUGAAGAAUUUGUAUUUACUCUAGUGUGAAGGAUAAAUGGGAGGAAGGUAAAACUGAAGACUAGAAGAUUAGGUAGGAGGUUUUUGCUGAAAUUCAGAUGUAUGUGUCAGGUUUACCACAGUAAUACACAAUCCAAAAUCUUAGCGGCAUACAACAACAAAUACUCAUUUCCUCCAAAACCUUUGUAUCUUACAACAACAGACUCAGGGGUCUGUUGGUCAGCUGUAGGUUGGUAUUAAUUCAGCUGGGCUGUGCAGGACCGAGUGUGGCUUGGCUCCAGACAUGGCAGAUCAUGUGUGCUCCGUGGGUCUUCCACAUUGGGACACAAGAUGAAGGAGCAAUGACUUCUGUGGGCCAUGCUCUUCUAUUGAUGGAUGACAGGCAUGCAGGGGAGGUGGGUAGGAAUGUGUGAUGUCCCCUAAAGCCCCUGCUCAGAGAUAGCAAACUAUCCCUGCUGCCCACACUACACCAGCCAAAGUCACAUGGCCAACCUCAGGUACAGGACACAGUAGGAUUCUCUACCCAUAGGGUAAAAGGGGACAGUAAAUAUUUGCUGAACAUAUUAACUCAACCUACCGCACCAAGAAAAGAUUAUGAACACCUAAACCAAGGUAGGCAGAGUAGGAAUGGACAAGAGGGAGUCAGGAAAGCUGAAACACCCCAUAACCAGAGUCUGGGGGCUGGAACGAGGUGGGAUGGGCAGGGAUGAACCUUGUCAGGACACUAAGAAACUAGAUCAGAACCUUUAACUCAGGAAGUGUCUGACUGGCACAGGGAAGUCAAUCUAAAUCAAUUCACUGAUUUGAAAAUUUUAGGCAAGAUGAGAAAUACAAGAAUAAACCUCUCAGAAAAGGAGCUAAUGGAAGAGAAGAUUGCAAUGAAUGGGGGGAGCAGAGUAGUGACAAUAUCAAACUGGUCUCAGUUCUGUGGCAAUGGGCAUCUUGGGAGCUCUCGAAAGGUGGCCCCCAAAGAGAAAAUGACAGAACUGAUGUGGGAGGAAAGAGAGAGGGGAGAAUUUAAGAUAAGUCCCAGUUUUCUAGUCUAAGGAACUGGGAGGACACUGG
rnacentral:lncRNA from 1 species